rnacentral:rRNA from 1 species
UACGGAGGAUCCAAGCGUUAUCCGGAUUUAUUGGGUUUAAAGGGUGCGUAGGCGGCCUAUUAAGUCAGGGGUGAAAGACGGUAGCUUAACUAUCGCAGUGCCUUUGAUACUGAUGGGCUUGAAUGACUAGAGGUAGGCGGAAUGUGACAAGUAGCGGUGAAAUGCAUAGAUAUGUCACAGAACACCAAUUGCGAAGGCAGCUUACUAUGGUUUUAUUGACGCUGAGGCACGAAAGCGUGGGGAUCAAACAGG